rnacentral:rRNA from 1 species
GCCUGCAACUCGGCUGCAUGAAGCUGGAAUCGCUAGUAAUCGCGGAUCAGAAUGCCGCGGUGAAUACGUUCCCGGGUCUUGUACACACCGCCCGUCACACCAUGGGAGUUGGGAAUGCCCGAAGUCAGUGGCCCAACCGUAAGGGGGGAGCUGUCGAAGGCAGAUCCGAUGACUGGGGUGAAGUCGUAACAAGGUAUC